rnacentral:tRNA from 1 species
GCCUGAGUGGCUCAGUCGGUUGAGUGUCUGACUUUGGCUCAGGUCAUGAUCCCAGGAUCGUGGGACUGAGCCCUGCUUUGGGCU